CCAAAUUCCCAAAUGCGUCAAAUAUUCCCUCCUAAAGCAAGUCCCGUACUAAAAAAUAUGAAACAAUGUAUAUUCACAUGCCCACUAGCAGACAUCAAGUUAUGGCUGAGCAGCACAUCGCACCUUGGGGUGGGGGAGAGACUAUCGCAAC